AUUGAACGCUGGCGGCAUGCCUUACACAUGCAAGUCGAACGGCAGCACGGGAGCAAUCCUGGUGGCGAGUGGCGAACGGGUGAGUAAUAUAUCGGAACGUGCCCAAUCGUGGGGGAUAACGCAGCGAAAGCUGUGCUAAUACCGCAUACGAUCUACGGAUGAAAGCGGGGGACUCGCAAGAGCCUCGCGCGAAUGGAGCGGCCGAUAUCAGAUUAGCUAGUUGGCGGGGUAAAAGCCCACCAAGGCGACGAUCUGUAGCUGGUCUGAGAGGACGACCAGCCACACUGGAACUGAGACACGGUCCAGACUCCUACGGGAGGCAGCAGUGAGGAAUAUUGCGCAAUGCCCGAAAGGGUGACGCAGCGACGCCGCGUGGAGGAUGAAGGCCCUACGGGUCGUAAACUCCUUUUGUGAGGGAAUAAUUUCUCGCUAUAGGCGAGAUUGAAUGUACCUCAGGAAAAAGCAUCGGCUAACUACGUGCCAGCAGCCGCGGUAAUACGUAGGAUGCUAGCGUUGUCCGGAUUUACUGGGUGUAAAGGGAGCGCAGGCGGGUUGGUAAGUCGGUGGCGAAAUUCUCGGGCUUAACCCGAGUACUGCCAUCGAUACUGCUAAUCUUGAGUGCAGAAGAGGUUGAUGGAAUUCUAGGUGUAGCGGUGAAAUGCGUAGAUAUCUAGAAGAACACCGAUGGCGAAGGCAGUCAACUGGUCUGCUACUGACGCUCAUGCUCGAAAGCGUGGGGAUCAAACAGGAUUAGAUACCCUGGUAGUCCACGCCCUAAACGAUGAAUACUCGAUGUCGGCUCGCAAGGGUCGGUGUCUAAGCUAACGCAUUAAGUAUUCCACCUGGGGAGUACGAUCGCAAGGUUGAAACUCAAAGGAAUUGACGGGGGCCCGCACAAGCAGUGGAGCAUGUGGUUUAAUUCGAUGCAACGCGAAGAACCUUACCUGGGUUUGAAAGGCUCUGUAAACCGGUGAAAGCCGGCUAGUGUAGCAAUACACACGGAGUACAGGUGCUGCAUGGCUGUCGUCAGCUCGUGCCGUGAGAUGUUGGGUUAAGUCCCGCAACGAGCGCAACCCCUAUCCUCAGUUGCCAUCAUUAAGUUGGGCACUCUGUGGAGACUGCCGGUGUUAAACCGGAGGAAGGUGGGGAUGACGUCAAGUCCUCAUGGCCCUUAUGACCAGGGCUACACACGUGCUACAAUGGCCGGUACAAAGAGUUGCGAUACCGUGAGGUGGAGCCAAUCUCAUAAAGCCGGUCUCAGUUCGGAUUAGAGUCUGCAACUCGACUCUAUGAAGUUGGAAUCGCUAGUAAUCGCGGAUCAGCAUGCCGCGGUGAAUACGUUCCCGGGCCUUGUACACACCGCCCGUCACACCACGGGAGUCGAUUGGUCCCGAAGUGCGUGAGCUAACCCCUUGUGGGAGGCAGCGUCCUAAGGAAUGGUCGGUGACUGGGGUG
rnacentral:rRNA from 1 species